GUUUAUGUAGAUUAUUAUAAAUCAUGAUGCUGUUAACUUCAAGAAGGGUUUAUGCCCCAUAAUCG
rnacentral:tRNA from 1 species